rnacentral:rRNA from 1 species
AAACCGGAGCUAAUACCGGAUAACAUUUGGAACCGCAUGGUUCUAAAGUGAAAGAUGGUUUUGCUAUUCACUUAUAGAUGGACCCGCGCCGUAUUAGCUAGUUGGUAAGGUAACGGCUUACCAAGGCGACGAUACGUAGCCGACCUGAGAGGGUGAUCGGCCACACUGGAACUGAGACACGGUCCAG